UUGCGUCUCUGUACAAGUGAGCUUCAGCAGUCAACGUUGAUUUCUCUCGGGGUGGUUUAUUUGUUUAUCGUCGAGGAGCAGGUCAAAAGGGGAGAGAGGGUGAUAUCGUCUGUGACUUCAGUUUCGAUACCUAACGCCGCAGUCGAUUUUGACGCUUGUCAUAUGUUCCAGUUAACGUUCUCCAACUCCGGCAGUUCGCUCAACUAAACCGCAUUUAUUUCGAAAACCCAAAAGGCUGGGCAUUAAUGGCGUUGGUCAUCAUUGCCCGUUGUUAACGCAUGGAAAAAACACCGACAAUAGCCAGAAAAAUACACAUUUCAACUUUAAAGCCGGUAAUUCAGAAAAAAUACGUCUCGUGUUGUGUUCUCAAUAAAAUCGUAGAUGAUGCUUGAUUGCCGGGUUUUGGUGGAAAUGAGGAAACAUGAUGUCGAGCAAAGAUUGCUUCUUUUUUCAUGUGACAAUAUAUUUUCAUGUCUUGUUGAGUCAUUUAAAAUGUUUGACAUGAUUGAUGGCUGGCUGGAAUCAAAUAUGAUUGAGGCAAACAAGAAUUCGCCAGAUUUAAAAUGUUGACAUCAGUGAUUAAAGUGAAAAACCAAAAAUCCGAACUUCAAAUAGUACAUUUACAUUAUUAAUUUGUUUCCUUUUUUUAAACCAACGCCUGCAUAUUCAUUUAUGUUUAAAUUUAAUAAUUGAAUGAAAGUUGUUAAACGUUUAUUGGGAAAAGUAUGUGUUUCUCAAGCAUCGGA